rnacentral:misc_RNA from 1 species
CAGGCUACAUCUUUACACAUUUUUAUGUGGUUAUAAAGUUAUAAUAUUACAUCAUACAAAAACAGCAAUGCCACUCAAUAUAAUUUCUCUCUUAUGUACAAGGAUUUAUCGUUGCUCACCCCCCUAACAUUGAGCAAUUUUGAUAUCAAUUGAAGAUCAAGGUAUGAUGCAUUGUAUGUCCAUGAGCAAUUUCUAACUCGUCGACAUAACAAACAACCCCUUUCAUCUUUUGUCAUCAAAUGCUUUAGCUUUUUCUACAGAUUCCAUUGCUUCUUCAAACGAUUUUCCAGAAUUUCGCAUCUUCCAUAGUGCCUCCCCACCUGCAUCAACUACAUAUGUUGCACCUAACAAUACACCGGCAAGUGCAGCAUUGAGGAGAAACGCCCUUGUCGUCAUGAACCGCAGAACCAUCUCGAAUUUGGUAACAAUACUUGCAGAACCGCCGGCAUCAGCAGGCCGACUAUACCCAUACCCAUAAUUGU